rnacentral:rRNA from 1 species
CCUGCCGAAUGAAUUAGCCCUGAAAAUGGAUGGCGCUCAAGCGGGUAGCCGACACUGUGCCAUCUGGCCCAAAAAAUAUUAUGUAAGUGACAGAUGAGUAGGAAGGAAACGUAGCGGUCGUAUAGAAGCGUGUGCGCAAGCAUGCGUGGAACGGCCGCUAGUGCAGAUCUUGGUGGUAGUAGCAAAUAUUCAAAUGAGAACCUUGAAGGGCGAAGCGGGGAAGGGUUCCAUGCGAACAUUGAUUGGGCAUGGGUGAGUCGUUCCUAAGCCGUCUGGUAAUUGGCUAGACAUUUCGGCGAAAGGGAAGCAGGUUGAUAUUCCUGCACACGGAUGUGGAAAUGCGGUGACGCACACUGAGGCGGUGAAGCCGUCGGUUGCACUGGGCAGAGAUUUCUUUUCUGUUUGACGGAGCCUGACUGUACACUAUGGAAUCCGCUUGUCGGGAGAAAUAGGUAUGUCACGGCAAAGCGCCGGGUUUUUUUUCUGGCGUCCAGUUUGCGACUGGCGGACCAUGAAAAGCUGUCUGCUGGCAAAACCACUGUGUUUUGUGUGAAAAAUUCCACGCCGUAACGUACCCAUAACCGCAUCAAGUCCCCAAGAAG